rnacentral:lncRNA from 10 species
CAAAAAUGGCACACCUCCCAGGUUCUGCUGCCAUGCUGUUCUAACCUGUACACACGUAUACAAAUUCCAGGUUUUUACUUGCAGACAGGAUAUCAGAAUGAAAGCCACUGAAGUUCCAGUUCUUUGCCAUUGGGCUCUCCUUGUUUACAUUGCAUCUACUGUUGCAGCUCAGGGAUACAAACUGCUGCAGGUAGUUGGAGCCCCGAGGAGACAGAGCAGCAAUAAUCCACACCGGCUGGGAACCUACUUACAAAACAAAGGUCCUGCCCUCCACUGGAAUGAUCUG